rnacentral:rRNA from 1 species
AGAGUUUGAUCCUGGCUCAGGACGAACGCUGGCGGCGUGCUUAACACAUGCAAGUCGAGCGGAAAGGCCCUUCGGGGUACUCGAGCGGCGAACGGGUGAGUAACACGUGAGUAACCUGCCCUAGGCUUUGGGAUAACCCUCGGAAACGGGGGCUAAUACCGAAUAUGACUUCCUGCCGCAUGGUGGGGGGUGGAAAGUUUUUCGGCUUGGGAUGGACUCGCGGCCUAUCAGCUUGUUGGUGGGGUAAUGGCCUACCAAGGCGACGACGGGUAGCCGGCCUGAGAGGGCGACCGGCCACACUGGGACUGAGACACGGCCCAGACUCCUACGGGAGGCAGCAGUGGGGAAUAUUGCACAAUGGGCGAAAGCCUGAUGCAGCGACGCCGCGUGAGGGAUGACGGCCUACGGGUUGUAAACCUCUUUCAGCAGGGACGAAGCGUAAGUGACGGUACCUGCAGAAGAAGCGCCGGCCAACUACGUGCCAGCAGCCGCGGUGGCAGUAGGGCGCGAGCGUUGUCCGGAUUUAUUGGGCGUAAAGAGCUCGUAGGCGGCUUGUCGCGUCGACUGUGAAAACCCGCAGCUCAACUGCGGGCCUGCAGUCGAUACGGGCAGGCUAGAGUUCGGUAGGGGAGACUGGAAUUCCUGGUGUAGCGGUGGAAUGCGCAGAUAUCAGGAGGAACACCGGUGGCGAAGGCGGGUCUCUGGGCCGAUACUGACGCUGAGGAGCGAAAGCGUGGGGAGCGAACAGGAUUAGAUACCCUGGUAGUCCACGCUGUAAACGUUGGGCGCUAGGUGUGGGGGACCUCUCCGGUUCUCUGUGCCGCAGCUAACGCAUUAAGCGCCCCGCCUGGGGAGUACGGCCGCAAGGCUAAAACUCAAAGGAAUUGACGG